AGUACUGACCAGUGUUCGGUUUCGAACUAGAAAAUCAAGAGAUCAGAGACAAGUUGCUUCGAUUCCAAGGAAUAUGAGAACUUUGAUGAAAGAUGCAGAAGAUUUUGGAAACGAUGGGGAGACAUUUGCGUUGGAGUUUGAAGACCCUAACAAAUCGCCGUUGAUACCAUAUUCAUUUAAUAUGGAGCUUCGAGCAAGGUGCUAAGAUGAGGGAAGCCUAGAUUAAUUAAUCGCUGCUUCGAAGGUGUUGGUCUCAGAUAUGUACAUAAAUGCGAAUAUACCUAUUCCUACUUUCUCAAGUCCACCUACGUCAGCAUCACUGUUCAACAAGCCGGCACGAUCUAUCUGCAACAUCAAUUUGUCUUCUUUGCAAAAAUCGUAAAAAUGACUCUUUCUGUGUACCUAUGCUUUGGACUGCUGCAGUAUUCGUCUUCGAGCUGAACUCAUCUAGCACCAAAAUAUUCUGUUUUCCCAUCUACACGAAUGCAGG